AUUGAACGCUGGCGUCAGGCUUAACACAUGCAAGUCGAGCGGAGAUGAGGUGCUUGCACCUUAACUUAGCGGCGGACGGGUGAGUAAUGCUUAGGAAUCUGCCUAUUAGUGGGGGACAACAUUCCGAAAGGUAUACUAAUACCCCAUACGUCCUACGGUAGAAAGCAGGGGAUCUUCGGACUUUGCCCUAAUAGAUGAGCCUAAGUCGGAUUAGCAAGUUGGUGGGGUAAAGGCCUACCAAGGCGACGAUCUGUAGCGGGUCUGAGAGGAUGAUCCGCCACACCGGGACUGAGACACGGCCCAGACUCCUACGGGAGGCAGCAGUGGGGAAUAUUGGACAAUGGGGGGAACCCUGAUCCAGCCAUGCCGCGUGUGUGAAGAAGGCCUUAUGGUUGUAAAGCACUUUAAGCGAGGAGGAGGCUACUGAGACUAAUACUCUUGGAUAGUGGACGUUACUCGCAGAAUAAGCACCGGCUAACUCUGUGCCAGCCGCCGCCGUAAGAC
rnacentral:rRNA from 1 species